GUGGGAGCCGGGCUUGCCCGCGAUGACGGUGUGUCAGCCAACGAAGAUAUCGAUUGUCAGUCCGUCAUCGCGGGCAAGCCCGGCUCCCAC
rnacentral:misc_RNA from 1 species